AGUGAACGCUGGCGGUAGGCCUAACACAUGCAAGUCGAACGGCAGCACAGUAAGAGCUUGCUCUUACGGGUGGCGAGUGGCGGACGGGUGAGGAAUACAUCGGAAUCUACUUUUUCGUGGGGGAUAACGUAGGGAAACUUACGCUAAUACCGCAUACGACCUACGGGUGAAAGCAGGGGAUCUUCGGACCUUGCGCGAUUGAAUGAGCCGAUGUCGGAUUAGCUAGUUGGCGGGGUAAAGGCCCACCAAGGCGACGAUCCGUAGCUGGUCUGAGAGGAUGACAGCCCCACCGGGACCGGGACACGGGCCAGACCCCUACGGGGGGGCAGAGGGGGGGAUAAUGGGAAAAGGGGGGAAACCUUGACCAAGCCAUCCCGGGUGGGUGAAGAAGGCUUUCGGGUUGUAAAGCCUUUUGUUGGGAAAGAAAAGCAGCAGGUUAAUACCCCGCUGUUCUGACGGUACCCAAAGAAUAAGCACCGGCUAACUUCGUG
rnacentral:rRNA from 1 species